GAAAACAUAAGGUCUCAAACUCAAGGAUCAGAAGGAGCAGGAACUUCUGGUGUUACACAACAGUCCCAAACUGCUAGGAUAUGUGGAAGAAAUGUAAGUGCAAGAGGUGGAAGAAAUGUACAUGCAAGAGGAGCUUCUCAACCAAAUGUGAGUGGCAUUGGUGGUGGUUCUCGAUAAAAUGUGAGUGGUAGCAGAGUUGGAAGACAGCCAAACCAGAGUGGCAUCAGAGGUGGAAGACAGCCAAGUGAGAGUGGUAUUGGUGUUAAUCCUCCGCCAUGGAGAGAGUAGCAAAAGCAGUAGUACCAAGGAAAAAAACACAACAGCGAGCUGGUUUUAGAGAGGGUAACUAGCAGUUGGAGGCUCCUUUGGGUUUUAUUCACCAUACAACAGUGAGGAUUUUUUUAUGACCUACUUUGUUUGAAACUUGUAAGUUUGUGGUUGACAAAGGUUAUGUUUGUAAGUUUGUGGUUGACAAUGGUUAUGUUUUUUUUUUUUUUUUUUUUUUUUUUUUUUUUUUU